rnacentral:rRNA from 1 species
GAUGAACGCUAGCGGGAGGCCUAACACAUGCAAGCCGAGCGGUAUUGUUUCUUCGGAAAUGCGAGAGCGGCGUACGGGUGCGUAACACGUGUGCAACCUGCCUUUAUCUGGGGGAUAGCCUUUCGAAAGGAAGAUUAAUACUCCAUAAUAUAUUGAACGGCAUCGUUUAAUAUUGAAAGCUCCGGCGGAUAGAGAUGGGCACGCGCAAGAUUAGCUAGUUGGUGAGGUAACGGCUCACCAAGGCGAUGAUCUUUAGGGGGCCUGAGAGGGUGAUCCCCCACACUGGUACUGAGACACGGACCAGACUCCUACGGGAGGCAGCAGUGAGGAAUAUUGGUCAAUGGGUGCAAGCCUGAACCAGCCAUCCCGCGUGAAGGACGACUGCCCUAUGGGUUGUAAACUUCUUUUGUAUAGGGAUAAACCUACCCUCGUGAGGGUAGCUGAAGGUACUAUACGAAUAAGCACCGGCUAACUCCGUG